CAUAAUCUGGUUUCAUUUACACCUAUUUACAUGGACACCUUGGGCCAAUAGAAAUCAUUUCCAUUUGAAGACAAGGCAAAGGGUGAAAAGGCUCAGCAACCGGAAUUGAAGUGUGAUGGCACCCAGUAACUGUGUGUGAAGAUUGCAGUUCUGCUAUCUUUUCUUGGAUGUCACAACACUACCUAAACCUUACUAUCUACAAAAGCAAAUAAAUUGUUUUUCAAUGGCUGUGGAGCAAAAAAAGCAUAGAGUUUGAAGAUGCUCCCUUGCCAUUUUGCUAGGAGAAGGUUGUUGGCCACAUUGUUCACCACUGCAUUGCCACCCACAAAGCUGGCAAAAAAAAGAGGCCAUGUGAUUAUAACUAACCUCCAGUGAACCAAAGGAUGGCUAAUUCCUAGUGUCUAAAAGCAGCAUUGAUCCCUUUCCAAUGAAUGAUCUUUGCAUUCAGCAAAACCCAAGCACUUUCUACAGGAAAAAGGUCACUUGCAAAACCUGUGAACAUGAAAGACUUUCAGACACAAUAUAGAGUUUUUUCCUCCCUCAAGUGUUAAAAUGAGAAUGGAUCAGCUUGGAAUAUUAAACUAAACCUCUGGUCACACAGAUUGAAUUUACCAGUGUUCAGGCAAUGCAGAAUAGCAAAAUAAUCUCUUAUGUGAAGAAAGUCCUUAUUAAUGGUGAAUUUACAUGUAUUAUGUGUUUUUAUAAAUAUGUACUUUUUUUUAAAAAAAAUACAAUUAAAUAAUUAAUUAACAUUGUUUUCUGUAACCAAAUUGUAUCUAAUGUAUACAUCCUGACGACGAUCCCCAGUGGAUCGAAACGCGUAGAUAUGGAGGUUCAAUAAAGGAUUCAUGGUUGGACUUUA